UACGGGGGGAGCAAGCGUUGUUCGGAUUUACUGGGCGUAAAGGGCGCGUAGGCGGCGUGACAAGUCACUUGUGAAAUCUCCGGGCUUAACCCGGAGCGGCCAAGUGAUACUGUCGUGCUAGAGUGCGGAAGGGGCUACUGGAAUUCUCGGUGUAGCGGUGAAAUGCGUAGAUAUCGGGCGGAACACCAGCGGCGAAGGCGGCCUUCUGGACAGUGACUGACGCUGAGACGCGAAAGCGUGGGGAGCAAACAGG
rnacentral:rRNA from 1 species